rnacentral:rRNA from 1 species
AGAGGGAAUUCCUGGUGUAGCGGUGAAAUGCGUAGAGAUCUAGGAAGGAACGAACACGGUAGGCGGGUACGGGUACGACGGCCGGACGGUAGUCGGUGGGACGACGAGUUACGACGACGGGUAAGGUAGGACGAUAUUCAGCUCUAGUCACAGAUAGGUGUACUUGACCUAGUUUUGGACGGAUUACGGUUAACUUCAACUAUCGUAAGCGAGUAGUUAGAGUACUUUAACGGUAGUCCGUGGGACUCGUGUGGUGGUACGGUGAUUACGGAUAAGGCCUUUGGAGGGUCCGCGGGACUACGUCGACGUUUGGUACCCAUCAAUCGUCCGUUCGACGGAACGUUGACUAAGUCGACCGUACGAACGUACGCUGUAGUCGUACGUAUAAGACGUAAUUACGUACGGAACGUCGAGUCACGUGGCAAGUCCAAAUUGGUGUAAGUAACGUACUUUGGGUUAGACUACGGUCGUAGGUAGGUACUACGUUCGGUACGGUCGUUUUACGGUAGUUUACGAAGUACUAAGGUUAAACGUUUAGGGAAACUACGGAACGUCGUUACGAGUCCUAAUAACGUAACGUAACGUUUAAACUAAAACUAAAAAACUUGGUUACGUUUAUAAAACGUAUUAACGUAAUUAAAGUUAAGUUAGGUACUUACGUUAAGGUUACCGACGUUAACCCGG